GCUUACGGUCACACCCCCGUCUGGUUCACGCCCGAUCUCGUUUGAUCUCGGAAGCUAAGAUAGGUUGGUCCUGGUUAGUGCUUGGAUGGGGAGACCGCCUGGGAAUACCAGGUGCUGUAAGCU
rnacentral:rRNA from 1 species